CGCUGGCGGCGUGCCUAACACAUGCAAGUCGAGCGGAGUCAGUAAGAGGAAGUUUCGGAUGGAAUCUUAUUGAUUUAGCGGCGGACGGGUGAGUAACGCGUGAGCGACCAACCUUGCACAGGGGGAUAACGGACCGAAAGGUUCACUAAUACCGCAUGAGACCACGGUGUUGCAUGACACAGGGGUCAAAGGAGCAAUCCGGUGCAAGACGGGCUCGCGUCCGAUUAGGUAGUUGGAGGGGUAACGGCCCACCAAGCCUAUGAUCGGUAGCCGACCUGAGAGGGUGAUCGGCCACAUUGGAACUGAGAUACGGUCCAAACUCCUACGGGAGGCAGCAGUGGGGAAUAUUGGGCAAUGGGGGGAAAAAACCCCCUGACCCAGCAACGCCGCGUGAAGGAAGAAGGUUUUCGGAUUGUAAACUUCUGUCCUUGGUGAAGAGAAGAAGACGGUAGCCAAGGAGGAAGCCCCGGCUAACUACGUGCCAGCAGCGGC
rnacentral:rRNA from 1 species